GGGGGUGUUCCGGAUUCGAUUCCCGCCAAGAUAUCGCGACGGCAUGCAGAGGGUAGUUCGUAACCUCUUAAAUCCAACGGGCAGCACUAUAACUGCUAAAAACACCAUCACGUUCGAGAACGACAACGUUCUCGCGCUCGCUGCCUAAGUACAGCGACGAGCCCCAGGGCGCGCCUGCAGUCCUGGAUCAGCUCGGUUAACGUGGGCGAUCCCCUCCUUUAGCUGUUAUCUCCGGGGUAAGUGAGAAUACAGAUAGGUCGCACGGGUGCUCAUCCCCAAACGCGAUCGAGAUCAAUGAUGAAGCUACGCAUGUAGAAGUUACGACGUAAGGGUAGGAAGACGUGGGUUCGACUCCCACCACCUCCACCA
rnacentral:tmRNA from 2 species